rnacentral:rRNA from 1 species
CCCUUAGAUGUUCUGGGCUGCACGCGUGCUACACUGAUAUUGCCAAUAUGUCAUUCUUAUCCGAAAUGGAUUGGGUAAUCAAGUAAUGAAAUUUCAUGCUUGGAAUCGGUAAUUGCAAUUUUAUCGUGAACGAGGAAUUCCUAGUAAGCACUAGUCAUCAGCUAAUGUUGAUUAUGUCCCUGCCCUUUGUACACACCGCCCGUCGCUACUACUGAUUGGGUGUUCAAGUGAGAUGCUUAGACCCUUGUUGCAUGGUUCAUUAUUGUGCUCCGAAAGGAAAAAGUUUCAAGCUUGAGUGUCUAGAGGAGGUAAAAGUCGUAACA